rnacentral:rRNA from 1 species
UGCAAGUCGAGCGCGGGAAGCAAGCAGAGCUCCUUACGGGAGUGACGCUUGUGGAACGAGCGGCGGACGGGUGAGUAACACGUGGGCAACCUACCUGUAAGACUGGGAUAACUCCGGGAAACCGGGGCUAAUACCGGAUGAAACAAAGCGUCGCAUGACGCAAUGUUAAAAGGCGGCAUAUGCUGUCACUUACAGAUGGGCCCGCGGCGCAUUAGCUAGUUGGUGAGGUAAAGGCUCACCAAGGCAACGAUGCGUAGCCGACCUGAGAGGGUGAUCGGCCACACUGGGACUGAGACACGGCCCAGACUCCUACGGGAGGCAGCAGUAGGGAAUCUUCCGCAAUGGACGAAAGUCUGACGGAGCAACGCCGCGUGAGUGAUGAAGGUUUUCGGAUCGUAAAACUCUGUUGUUAGGGAAGAACAAGUGCCAUUCGAAUAGGUUGGCACCUUGACGGUACCUAACCAGAAAGCCCCGGCUAACUACGUGCCAGCAGCCGCGGUAAUACGUAGGGGGCAAGCGUUGUCCGGAAUUAUUGGGCGUAAAGCGCGCGCAGGCGGUCCUUUAAGUCUGAUGUGAAAGCCCACGGCUUAACCGUGGAGGGCCAUUGGAAACUGGAGGACUUGAGUACAGAAGAGGAGAGUGGAAUUCCACGUGUAGCGGUGAAAUGCGUAGAGAUGUGGAGGAACACCAGUGGCGAAGGCGACUCUCUGGUCUGUAACUGACGCUGAGGUGCGAAAGCGUGGGUAGCGAACAGGAUUAGAUACCCUGGUAGUCCACGCCGUAAACGAUGAGUGCUANGUGUUANGGGGUUUCCGCCCCUUANUGCUGAANUUAACGCAUUAAGCACUCCNCCUGGGGAGUACNGCCGCAANGCUGAAACUCAAAAGAAUUGACGGGGACCCNCACAAACNGUGGAGCAUGUGGUUUAUUCNAAUCAACGCGNAGAACCUUACCAGGUCUUGACAUCCUCUGACACCCCU